rnacentral:lncRNA from 1 species
GAAUAUGAGAUAGUCUCACAUCUUCGAAGUCAUCCUGUAACAUCUGGAACACCUCGAUCUCUGUCGCGAAUGUUGGCCAGUCCAUCGGGUUUGUAGUCAUAUCCACUAAGUCCAAGCAGUCCGUCUCAAACCGUACCGAAGUGAUCCUUCUGUCUCUCAUAUAUGAGGCUGCCUAAAGUAACCCUUCCAUCUCAGCAUGCAAAGCUGUAUGUGCUUAUCACUGGUGGUUCUUUUGACUUCUAGUUUCCUUUUUGUCAACCCAUCAAGUUUAAGGAACACAAGGCUACAAAAAACUUUAAAAUGCUAAAACCAGUGGUCCAAUGAAAAGUUAUUAUCUUAUAACAUUUGGAAAGCGUGGUAGUUUUGAAAGAACUACUUUGGUUUCAGCUGAGCCCAAAAUCUUAUUUUGGAAGAAGAUUUGAUAAGGAGCUCACAAUAGGAUGGUAGCCACUCA